GAUGAACGCUGGCGGCGUGCCUAAUACAUGCAAGUCGAGCGAACGGACGAGAAGCUUGCUUCUCUGAUGUUAGCGGCGGACGGGUGAGUAACACGUGGAUAACCUACCUAUAAGACUGGGAUAACUUCGGGAAACCGGAGCUAAUACCGGAUGAUCUUUUGAACCGCAUGGUUCAAAAGUGAAAGACGGUCUUGCUGUCACUUAUAGAUGGAUCCGCGCUGCAUUAGCUAGUUGGUACGGUAACGGCUUACCACGGCAACGAUGCAUAGCCGACCUGAGGGAGGGGUCGGCCGCACUGGAGCUGGAACGCGGUCCAGGCGCCUACGGGAGGCAGCAGUAGGGAAUCUUCCGCAGUGGGCGAAAGCCUGACGGAGCAACGCCGCGUGAGUGAUGAAGGUCUUCGGAUCGUAAAACUCUGUUAUUAGGGAAGAACAUAUGUGUAAGUAACUGUGCACAUCUUGACGGUACCUAGUCAGAAAGCCACGGCUAACUACGUG
rnacentral:rRNA from 1 species